rnacentral:rRNA from 1 species
CGCCUGCCCCGUGACCCAAAAAGUUUAACGGCCGCGGUAUUUUGACCGUGCGAAGGUAGCGUAAUCACUUGUCUUUUAAAUGAAGACCGGUAUGAAUGGCAACACGAGGGCUCAGCUGUCUCCCGCCUCCAGUCAAUGAAAUUGAUCUGCCCGUGCAGAAGCGGACAUACAACCAUAAGACGAGAAGACCCUGUGGAGCUUAAGACGUAUGGCCACCCAUGCCGAGCAGCCCCACAACAAAAAAGCGAACAAGCCUAAUGGUACCUGGCCACGAUGUCUUCGGUUGGGGCGACCGCGGAGGAAAACCUAGCCUCCAUGUGGACCGGGGGGACUAUUACUACCCCUAAAGCCAAGAGACACACCUCUAAGCAGCAGAACAUCUGACCAAAAAUGAUGGCCCCAAAGCCCGAUCAACGAACCAAGAAGCCCCAGGGAUAACAGCGCAAUCCUUUCCAAGAGUCCCUAUCGACGAAAGGGUUUACGACCUCGAUGUUGGAUCAGGACAUCCUAAUGGUGCAGCCGCUAUUAAGGGUUCGUUUGUUCGG